GAUCUGUGCCCAGUGAUAUCCAAUCUGUAUGCAUCAAGAAACUGGCUACAUAUGAGUCUAGUCCCAACUUUAUCUACUAUGUAGCCCAGGCUGACCUUGACCUUGUGAUCCUUCCACCUCAUAGGCUCCUGGGCACUAGGAUUACAGAUGUCUGCCACUUUGCCUGGCUCAGAGCUGGCUUUGGAGAGCCAUUGGAACAUGCCCCAGGAGCACAGGCAUGUGACAAAGGUGCACCACACAAGCUCAGGAAUGCAUCGCAGCCUAUAUCCCAGCAGGAAGCUACAUGCAGUUGGAGCUGCUUGUGACACCCCUGGGUGUUAUGUGUGGCCAUAUGUAGGUAUAUGAAGGAUGCAUUGGGUUCAAAGCUAUCCAGAAAAGAGGUUGGGCUAAUCAUGGAGUCUCACAAUAACCUGUAGAGAGAAUAUCUUGUGUGUUGUAUGGAGGCAUUACCUGUCAAUUUAAAAACCUACAGGAAAGGGUAGAAUAGAAGGUGGAACAUCUGGGAGGCAGAAAGGAUUCUGGAAUAGAGUGAGGUGAUAAAGAUUCCCCCUGGAAAAGAUGUGACAAGACGGACUCAUGGUAUCAGAACACAGAUAAGCAGUCACAUGGCAGACUGUAGAUUGGAAUAAAUGGGCAAUUUAAGUUAUGAUCUAGUCAGAGAAGAGCCUAGCUAUAUGGCCAAGGUAUUUGUAAAA